rnacentral:misc_RNA from 1 species
AACUUUUGACAAUGGAUCUCUUGGUUCUCGCAUCGAUGAAGAACGCAGCGAAAUGCGAUACGUAAUGUGAAUUGCAGAUUCAGUGAAUCAUCGAAUCUUUGAACGCAUAUUGCACUCUUUGGUAUUCCGAAGAGUAUGCCUGUUUCAGUAUCAUAAAACUCUCACAAAGCCAAGCUUUUGUGGACCUGGGCAUGCAAGAUCUGAUUGAUUUUGCUCGUCUAAAAUGCAUUUCUUGAUCUCCAAACGCUGAUUUUGCUUAAUAGUUUUGGCCUUUGUGCUGAAUCUUUGGCUUUAUCAAUGGCAAUUGAGCUUCAAGAUUUACGAUUUAAUUGGCCUUUGAGCCUCUCAAAAUUUGAUCUGAAAUCAGGUAGGACUACCCGCUGAACUUAAGCAUAUCAAUAAGCGGAGGCU